UUCCGGUUGAUCCUGCCGGAGGCUACCGCUAUUGGAGUUCGAUUAAGCCAUGCGAGUCGCGAGAAAUUAGAUUCUCGGCGUACCGCUCAGUAACACGUGGGUAACCUGCCCUAUGCUGGAUAAUAACCUCGGGAAACUGAGAAUAAUGAUCCAUAGUUCACUACGCCUGGAACGGUGAGUGGAUGAAAGCUCCGGCGGCAUAGGAUGGGCCUGCGGCGUAUCAGGUUGUAGGGGGUGUAACGUACCCUCUAGCCCUCUACGCGUACGGGUGUUGGGAGACAUAGCCCGGAGAUGGAUUCUGAGACACGAAUCCAGACCCUACGGGGUGCAGCAGGCGCGAAAACUUGGCAAUGCGAGAAAUCGUGACCAGGGAACUCCAAGUGCAUGGGGUAAGACCCAUGCUUUUCUUGACUCUAAAUAGGUCUUGGAAUAAGGGGUGGGUAAGGACGGUGCCAGCCGCCGCGGUAAUACCGGCGCCUCAAGUGGUAGUCGCUUUUAUUGGGCCUAAAACGUCCGUAGCCGGUCUGAUACAUUCGUGGGUAAAUCAACCAGCUUAACUGGUUGAAUUCUGCGAGGACGGUCAGACUUGGGACCGGGAGAGGUGUGGGGUACGCUCAGGGUAGGGGUAAAAUCCUGUCAUCCUGAGCGGACCACCUGUUGCGAAGGCGCCACACUAGAACGGAUCCGACGGUCAGGGACGAAGCCUAGGGGCACGAACCGGAUUAGAUACCCGGGUAGUCCUAGGUGUAAACGCUGUGGACUUGAUGUUGGGGGUGCUCCGAGCACUCUCAGUGUCGAAGCGAAGGUGAUAAGUCCACUGCCUGGGAAGUACGGUCGCAAGGCUGAAACUUAAAGGAAUUGGCGGGGGAGCACCGCAACCUGAGGAUUGUGCGGUUUAAUUGGAUUCAACGCCGG
rnacentral:rRNA from 1 species